UACAGAGGUCUCAAGCGUUGUUCGGAUUCAUUGGGCGUAAAGGGUGCGUAGGCGGCGCGGUAAGUCGGGUGUGAAAUCUCGGGGCUUAACUCCGAAACUGCAUUCGAUACUGCCGUGCUUGAGGACUGGAGAGGAGACUGGAAUUUACGGUGUAGCGGUGAAAUGCGUAGAGAUGUGGAGGAACACCGAUGGCGAAGGCAGCCCCCCCUGGGCUGAGAUUGACGCUCAGGCACGAAAAGCGUGGGGGAGCAAACAGG
rnacentral:rRNA from 1 species